UAAUACAGAGGCGGCAAGCGUUGUUCGGAAUUAUUGGGCGUAAAGAGCACGUAGGCGGCCUUGUAAGUCAGUUGUGAAAGCCUUCUGCUUAACGGAAGAACAGCAUCUGAUACUGCAAGGCUAGAGUGCGGAAGGGGAGAGUGGAACUUCUGGUGGAGCGGUGAAAUGCGUAGAUAUCAGAAGGAACACCGGCGGCGAAGGCGACUCUCUGGUCCGUAACUGACGCUGAGUGUGCGAAAGCUAGGGGAGCAAACGGG
rnacentral:rRNA from 1 species